UAGGUGGCAAGCGUUGUCCGGAAUUACUGGGUGUAAAGGGCGUGUAGGCGGGACUGCAGGUCAGAUGUGAAAUACCGGGGCUCAACCCCGGAGCUGCAUUUGAAACCGUGGUUCUUGAGUAUCGGAGAGGCAGGCGGAAUUCCUAGUGUAGCGGUGAAAUGCGUAGAUAUUAGGAGGAACACCAGUGGCGAAGGCGGCCUGCUGGACGACAACUGACGCUGAGGCGCGAAAGCGUGGGGAGCAAA
rnacentral:rRNA from 1 species